GACGAACGCUGGCGGCGUGCUUAACACAUGCAAGUCGAACGGGCUCUGUCUGGCUGUGUGCUGGGUGGGGUUAGUGGCGAACGGGUGAGUAAUACGUGAGUAACCUGCCCUCUUCUUUGGGAUAAGCCUUGGAAACGGGGUCUAAUACUGGAUAUUCCUGUCUGGUCGCAUGGCUGGGUGGGGAAAGUUUUUUUCGGUGGGGGAUGGGCUCGCGGCCUAUCAGCUUGUUGGUGGGGUGAUGGCCUACCAAGGCGUCGACGGGUAGCCGGCCUGAGAGGGUGACCGGCCACACUGGGACUGGGAUACGGCCCAGACUCCUACGGGCGGCAGCAGUGGGGGAUAUUGCACAAUGGGCGCAAGCCUGAUGCAGCGACGCCGCGUGGGGGAUGACGGCUUUCGGGUUGUAAACCUCUUUCGUCGGGGGACAAGGCUCUGCUUGGUGGUGGGGUUGAGGGUACCCGGUGAAGAAGCGCCGGCUAACUACGUG
rnacentral:rRNA from 1 species